rnacentral:rRNA from 1 species
UACGUAGGGUGCAAGCGUUAAUCGGAAUUACUGGGCGUAAAGCGUGCGCAGGCGGUUGUGUAAGACCGAUGUGAAAUCCCCGGGCUCAACCUGGGAACUGCAUUUGUGACUGCACGGCUGGAGUGCGGCAGAGGGGGAUGGAAUUCCGCGUGUAGCAGUGAAAUGCGUAGAUAUGCGGAGGAACACCGAUGGCGAAGGCAAUCCCCUGGGCCUGCACUGACGCUCAUGCACGAAAGCGUGGGGAGCAAACAGG